rnacentral:rRNA from 1 species
ACUUGACCUCAAAUCAGGUAGGACUACCCGCUGAACUUAAGCAUACAAA